GGCAAGGUGGCCGAGCGGUCCAAGGCGCCACGUUAAGGUAUUCAAAAUCCUUAAUCCCGAUAUCCGUGGUCUCGAAAGGGGCGUGAGUUCGAAUCUCACCCUUGUCA